CUCCUGAAUCCAACAUAUUCUAGCUGAAACGGAUCCCAGGACGGAAUGCUGGAGAGAUGCAUAUUCCAGCUACAGGCCCUCAGAGCUCAGUGAAACGAAGUCUCAGUAUGUUGCCCAAGCUGGUCUUGAACUCCUGGUCUUAAGUGAUCUCCUUGCCUCAGCCUCCCGAGUACUUCUCAGUUUUCUAUACAAAUCUCUCAUCUAUCCCUAACCUCUCAGUGGAGAAACUCCAAGAUGAACCCCAAAGAUCUCCAUCUCCAGCUGUUCACACUGCUAUGUAAUCUCUAGCCCUUGGGUGUGGAAAGGACUUGUGACUUGCUUUAACCAACAACAGAAUAUAGCAAAGGUAAAAGGAUGUCAUUUCUGUGAUUAGACUAUAUAAGAUUGUGACUUCUGUCUUGCUAGCAGACUCUACUGCUUUCUCAGUUUGCAUGCUAGAAUAAAGUAAGCAACUACUUUGGAGAGGCCCACAUGGUAAGGACUGAGGGCAGCUUCUUGGCAAUCACCAGCUAGGAACUGAGUUCCUUAGUCUAACAGGUCUUCAGAUCCUGAAUCCUGCCAAGAGCCCUGGCUGGUGCCUCUUCUUCCAUUGAACCUUCAGAUGAAAACCUGGCCUUUGCCAAUAUUUGACUGUAGCCUGUGAGAGACCCUGAAGCAGAGAACCCAGCUCAGCUACAUCCAGAUUCCUGAGCCACAGAAAAUGAGAUUAUGUGUGUAUUGUUUGAAGCUGCUAAGUUUUGUGGUAAGUUGUUGCACAGAAGUAGAUAAUUAAUACAAUUAUGUUUAUGUGAUUCAUCUAUACUGCUAUAUUUUAGUUGUAGUUAUUUCACUGCUCUUUUCUAAUAUUUAUCUAGUCAACUGCUAAUGUGCAGUUGGAAGGUUUUCAGUUUGGACUAUUAUGAAUAUAGGUGCUAUAAAAAUUCUUGUACAUGUCUUUUGAUGGACAUAUAUUCAUAGUUCCAUUGGGUAUUUAUAUAAAAAUAGAAUCACUGAAUAUGUUCAGCUUUAGUAGAUGUUGCCAAACCUAU